GUAUUUCUAGUGGAGACUAGAGCGUCCCGAUGUACAUCGGGAAAGUCGCUGGUUCGAAUCCAGUCAGGUCCA
rnacentral:tRNA from 1 species